rnacentral:rRNA from 1 species
AGCGAACGCUGGCGGCAGGCUUAACACAUGCAAGUCGAGCGGGCACUUUCGGGUGUCAGCGGCGGACGGGUGAGUAACGCGUGGGAACGUGCCCUCUGGUUCGGAAUAACUCAGGGAAAAUUGAGCUAAUACCGGAUACGCCCUUUUGGGGAAAGGCUUGCUGCCGGAGGAUCGGCCCGCGGCUGAUUAGAUAGUUGGUGAGGUAACGGCUCACCAAGGCGACGAUCAGUAGCUGGUCUGAGAGGAUGAUCAGCCACACUGGGACUGAGACGCGGCCCAGACUCCUACGGGAGGCAGCAGUGGGGAAUAUUGGACAAUGGGCGCAAGCCUGAUCCAGCCAUGCCGCGUGAGUGAUGAAGGCCUUAGGGUUGUAAAGCUCUUUUAUCCGGGACGAUAAUGACGGUACCGGAGGAAUAAGCCCCGGCUAACUUCGUG